rnacentral:rRNA from 2 species
CUAGCUACAGGCUUAACACAUGCAAGUCGAGGGGCAGCAUGGUCUUAGCUUGCUAAGGCCGAUGGCGACCGGCGCACGGGUGAGUAACACGUAUCCAACCUGCCGUCUACUCUUGGACAGCCUUCUGAAAGGAAGAUUAAUACAAGAUGGCAUCAUGAGUCCGCAUGUUCACAUGAUUAAAGGUAUUCCGGUAGACGAUGGGGAUGCGUUCCAUUAGAUAGUAGGCGGGGUAACGGCCCACCUAGUCUUCGAUGGAUAGGGGUUCUGAGAGGAAGGUCCCCCACAUUGGAACUGAGACACGGUCCAAACUCCUACGGGAGGCAGCAGUGAGGAAUAUUGGUCAAUGGGCGAGAGCCUGAACCAGCCAAGUAGCGUGAAGGAUGACUGCCCUAUGGGUUGUAAACUUCUUUUAUAAAGGAAUAAAGUCGGGUAUGGAUACCCGUUUGCAUGUACUUUAUGAAUAAGGAUCGGCUAACUCCGUGCCAGCAGCCGCGGUAAUACGGAGGAUCCGAGCGUUAUCCGGAUUUAUUGGGUUUAAAGGGAGCGUAGAUGGAUGUUUAAGUCAGUUGUGAAAGUUUGCGGCUCAACCGUAAAAUUGCAGUUGAUACUGGAUAUCUUGAGUGCAGUUGAGGCAGGCGGAAUUCGUGGUGUAGCGGUGAAAUGCUUAGAUAUCACGAAGAACUCCGAUUGCGAAGGCAGCCUGCUAAGCUGCAACUGACAUUGAGGCUCGAAAGUGUGGGUAUCAAACAGGAUUAGAUACCCUGGUAGUCCACACGGUAAACGAUGAAUACUCGCUGUUUGCGAUAUACUGCAAGCGGCCAAGCGAAAGCGUUAAGUAUUCCACCUGGGGAGUACGCCGGCAACGGUGAAACUCAAAGGAAUUGACGGGGGCCCGCACAAGCGGAGGAACAUGUGGUUUAAUUCGAUGAUACGCGAGGAACCUUACCCGGGCUUAAAUUGCAGAUGAAUUACGGUGAAAGCCGUAAGCCGCAAGGCAUCUGUGAAGGUGCUGCAUGGUUGUCGUCAGCUCGUGCCGUGAGGUGUCGGCUUAAGUGCCAUAACGAGCGCAACCCUUGUUGUCAGUUACUAACAGGUUCCGCUGAGGACUCUGACAAGACUGCCAUCGUAAGAUGUGAGGAAGGUGGGGAUGACGUCAAAUCAGCACGGCCCUUACGUCCGGGGCUACACACGUGUUACAAUGGGGGGUACAGAGGGCCGCUACCACGCGAGUGGAUGCCAAUCCCCAAAACCUCUCUCAGUUCGGACUGGAGUCUGCAACCCGACUCCACGAAGCUGGAUUCGCUAGUAAUCGCGCAUCAGCCACGGCGCGGUGAAUACGUUCCCGGGCCUUGUACACACCGCCCGUCAAGCCAUGGGAGCCGGGGGUACCUGAAGUGCGUAACCGCGAGGAGCGCCCUAGGGUAAAACUGGUGACUGG